GCGCGCGAUGGUGGGCUCAGGCCGGUCGGAAAUCGGCUGACGAGUGCAAUGGCAAAAGCCCGCCUGACUGCGAGAGC
rnacentral:tRNA from 1 species